GACGAACGCUGGCGGCGUGCUUAACACAUGCAAGUCGAACGGAAAGGCCCUGCUUUUGUGGGGUGCUCGAGUGGCGAACGGGUGAGUAACGCGUGAGUAACCUGCCCUUGACUUUGGGAUAACUUCAGGAAACUGGGGCUAAUACCGGAUAGGAGCUCUUGCUGCAUGGUGGGGGUUGGAAAGUUUCGGCGGUUGGGGAUGGACUCGCGGCUUAUCAGCUUGUUGGUGGGGUAGUGGCUUACCGAGGCUUUGACGGGUAGCCGGCCUGAGAGGGUGACCGGCCACAUUGGGACUGAGAUACGGCCCAGACUCCUACGGGAGGCAGCAGUGGGGAGUAUUGCACAAUGGGCGGAAGCCUGAUGCAGCAACGCCGCGUGCGGGAUGACGGCCUUCGGGUUGUAAACCGCUUUCGCCUGUGACGAAGCGUGAGUGACGGUAAUGGGUAAAGAAGCACCGGCUAACUACGUGCCAGCAGCCGCGGUGAUACGUAGGGUGCGAGCGUUGUCCGGAUUUAUUGGCCGUAAAGGGCUCGUAGGUGGUUGAUCGCGUCGGAAGUGUAAUCUUGGGGCUUAACCCUGAGCGUGCUUUCGAUACGGGUUGACUUGAGGAACGUAGGGGAGAAUGGAAUUCCUGGUGGAGCGGUGGAAUGCGCAGAUAUCAGGAGGAACACCAGUGGCGAAGGCGGUUCUCUGGGCCUUUCCUGACGCUGAGGAGCGAAAGCGUGGGGAGCGAACAGGCUUAGAUACCCUGGUAGUCCACGCUGUAAACGGUGGGUACUAGGUGUGGGGUCCAUUCCACGGGUUCCGUGCCGUAGCUAACGCUUUAAGUACCCCGCCUGGGGAGUACGGCCGCAAGGCUAAAACUCAAAGGAAUUGACGGGGCCCCGCACAAGCGGCGGAGCAUGCGGAUUAAUUCGAUGCAACGCGUAGAACCUUACCUGGGUUUGACAUGGAUCGGGAGUGCUCAGAGAUGGGUGUGCCUCUUUUGGGGUCGGUUCACAGGUGGUGCAUGGCUGUCGUCAGCUCGUGUCGUGAGAUGUUGGGUUAAGUCCCGCAACGAGCGCAACCCUUGUUCACUGUUGCCAGCACGUUAUGGUGGGGACUCAGUGGAGACCGCCGGGGUCAACUCGGAGGAAGGUGGGGAUGACGUCAAGUCAUCAUGCCCCUUAUGUCCAGGGCUUCACGCAUGCUACAAUGGCUGGUACAGAGAGUGGCGAGCCUGUGAGGGUGAGCGAAUCUCGGAAAGCCGGUCUCAGUUCGGAUUGGGGUCUGCAACUCGACCUCAUGAAGUCGGAGUCGCUAGUAAUCGCAGAUCAGCAACGCUGCGGUGAAUACGUUCCCGGGGCU
rnacentral:rRNA from 1 species